AGUUUGAUCCUGGCUCAGGACGAACGCUGGCGGCGUGCCUAAUACAUGCAAGUCGAGCGGAGUUUCAAAGAAGCUUGCUUCUUUGAAACUUAGCGGCGGACGGGUGAGUAACACGUAGGUAACCUGCCCUUUAGCCUGGGAUAACUACCGGAAACGGUAGCUAAUACCGGAUACUUUCGAUUCUCGCAUGGGAAACGAACGAAAGACGGAGCAAUCUGUCACUGAAGGAUGGGCCUGCGGCGCAUUAGCUAGUUGGUGGGGUAACGGCUCACCAAGGCGACGAUGCGUAGCCGACCUGAGAGGGUGAUCGGCCACACUGGGACUGAGACACGGCCCAGACUCCUACGGGAGGCAGCAGUGGGGAAUAUUGGACAAUGGGCGCAAGCCUGAUCCAGCCAUGCCGCGUGAGUGAUGAAGGCCUUAGGGUUGUAAAGCUCUUUCACCGGUGAAGAUAAUGACGGUAACCGGAGAAGAAGCCCCGGCUAACUUCGUGCCAGCAGCCGCGGUAA
rnacentral:rRNA from 1 species